rnacentral:rRNA from 1 species
UGGGGGGACCAUCCUCCAAGGCUAAAUACUCCUGACUGACCGAUAGUGAACCAGUACCGUGAGGGAAAGGCGAAAAGAACCCCUGUGAGGGGAGUGAAAUAGAUCCUGAAACCGCAUGCAUACAAGCAGUGGGAGCACCUUCGUGGUGUGACUGCGUACCUUUUGUAUAAUGGGUCAGCGACUUAUAUUCAGUAGCAAGGUUAACCGUAUAGGGGAGCCGUAGAGAAAUCGAGUCUUAAUAGGGCGUUUAGUUGCUGGGUAUAGACCCGAAACCAGGCGAUCUAUCCAUGAGCAGGUUGAAGGUUGGGUAACACUAACUGGAGGACCGAACCCACUGUCGUUGAAAAGCCAGGGGAUGACUUGUGGAUAGGGGUGAAAGGCUAAUCAAGCCUGGUGAUAGCUGGUUCUCCCCGAAAGCUAUUUAGGUAGCGCCUCGGACGAAUACCAUAGGGGGUAGAGCACUGUUUCGGCUAGGGGGUCAUCCCGACUUACCAAACCGAUGCAAACUCCGAAUACCUAUGAGUACUAUCCGGGAGACAGACUGCGGGUGCUAACGUCCGUAGUCAAGAGGAAAACAAUCCAGACCGCCAGCUAAGGCCCCAAAAUCAUAGUUAAGUGGGAAACGAUGUGGGAAGGCAUAGACAGCUAGGAGGUUGGCUUAGAAGCAGCCACCCUUUAAAGAAAGCGUAAUAGCUCACUAGUCGAGUCGGCCUGCGCGGAAGAUGUAACGGGGCUAAAA